UAAUAAAUAGAUUCGAACUUGCAAUACAAGAGUUUAGCACUAUGUAGGUCUCCUGCCCCUACGCGUUUUGUCCGAUGCAGGACUUCUUCAGGGAUAUUCAGAUGUGUAUGGGAAUCCUCGCCUCGAUUCGGCUUAAAAGUCCUCCUUGGCACCAUACUGAAAUGCCUUCAGCCAAUCGGAAACGGUGGCUUGUUGUAUAUCACCUGCAAUUAAUGAUGUAGCUUCCGCAUCUCAAGUCUUGGUCUCGUGUUGCGUUCCAAUUAUGUAUUUACAGUUUCACCGGGAGCGCUCUAUGAACCAGAAUUCCUUUUUCUUGCAGUCUAUGAGUCCAGCAACAUAAAUUAAUAAGAGAGGAGCCUUAUUGUAUAAAUCCCUGGGUAGUAGUAGGGGGUAACCCUAAUAUUGAUAAAAGUAUAACUUAAAAUGAGGUCAUUGCUGUUUCAGAUAAGGGGUGUUAUAAUUAAUUUUCCUAACAUCUUUAAUUCUACACUCAUACUUGUAACCUAUCUUUAUUUAUCGCUCUCAGAAGGUGGAUAAAAUUGUACUCAAUCUAUCCAGAUCUUUACACAUCUUAAUCCUUAAAUAAGUGAACACCUAAGGGUGAAGGAAAUUAUAUUCUUCUUGGAAAUUAUUUAUAUCGUUGGGUGCAAUAUUAUUACAUAACGCUAUUAAAUGUUGACCUGUUUAACUUGUAAUUAGAUCCUACUGUAUACUUCUGUUUCUCUCAUAACUUGGGAGAGGGAAGUUGCAGGAUCAACAACAUAUAGGAGAAUAUCAUCCACAUAAUAAUUGCACGUUGCCCCAGGGGAUCGGAUAUCCCUCAACCAAUUUUUGUUCCCUUAAUUUGGCU